rnacentral:rRNA from 1 species
UACGUAGGGUGCAGCGUUGUCCGGAAUUAUUGGGCGUAAAGAGCUCUAGAGCGGUUUUGUCGCGUCUGCCGUGAAAGUCCGGGGCUCAACUCCGGAUCUGCGGUGGGUACGGGCAGACUAGAGUGAUGUAGGGGGAGACUGGAAUUCCUGGUGUAGCGGUGAAAUGCGCAGAUAUCAGGAGGAACACCGGUAGUGGAAGGCGGGUCUCUGGGCCAAUUAACUCGUGAGGAGCGAAAGCAUGGGGAGCGAACAGGAUUAGAACCUCCGUAGUCAGUCCAAGACCAUC